UGGGAAACUGCCUGAUGGAGGGGGAUAACUACUGGAAACGGUAGCUAAUACCGCAUAACGUCGCAAGACCAAAGAGGGGGACCUUCGGGCCUCUUGCCAUCGGAUGUGCCCAGAUGGGAUUAGCUWGUWGGUGGGGUAACGGCUCACCWAGGCGACGAUCCCUAGCUGGUCUGAGAGGAUGACCAGCCACACUGGAACUGAGACACGGUCCAGACUCCUACGGGAGGCAGCAGUGGGGAAUAUUGCACAAUGGGCGCAAGCCUGAUGCAGCCAUGCCGCGUGUAUGAAGAAGGCCUUUCGGGUUGUAAAGUACUUUCAGCGGGGAGGAAGGGAGUAAAGUUAAUACCUUUGCUCAUUGACGUUACCCGCAGAAGAAGCACCGGCUAACUCCGUGCCAGCAGCCGCGGUAAUACGGAGGGUGCAAGCGUUAAUCGGAAUUACUGGCGUAAAGCGCWCGCAGGCGGUUUGUUAAGUCAGAUGUGAAAUCCCCGGGCUCACCUGGGAACUGCAU
rnacentral:rRNA from 1 species